rnacentral:sRNA from 1 species
UUAUUUCGCUUAAUCUUAUUUAAGAGCGGGGGACCCAAUUUUUUCGUAGAAUCUCUGCGUGGGGUGAAUCCUAUCUAUUGGAGGGGCUUACUGUUUCCAUAGUCCCAACCCGAAAGCUAACCUCGUAAGCGUUUAAAGGGA